UACAGAGGGAGCGAGCGUUAAUCGGAAUUACUGGGCGUAAAGCGCACGUAGGUGGCGACGUAAGUCGGGUGUGAAAGCCCCGGGCUCAACCUGGGAAUUGCAUUCGAGACUGCAUUGCUGGAGUACGGAAGAGGAGGGCGGAAUUCCAGGUGUAGCGGUGAAAUGCGUAGAUAUCGGGAGGAACAUCAGUGGCGAAGGCGGCCCGCUGGUCCAGUACUGACACUCAAGUGCGAAAGCGUGGGGAGCAAACAGG
rnacentral:rRNA from 1 species